rnacentral:rRNA from 1 species
UUUACGGAGAGUUUGAUCCUGGCUCAGGACGAACGCUGGCGGCGUGCUUAACACAUGCAAGUCGAACGGUGAUGGGGAGCUUGCUUCUCUGAUCAGUGGCGAACGGGUGAGUAACACGUGAGCAAUCUGCCCUUGACUCUGGGAUAAGCGUUGGAAACGACGUCUAAUACCGGAUACGACCUUGGAAGGCAUCUUCUGGGGUGGAAAGAAUUUUGGUCAAGGAUGAGCUCGCGGCCUAUCAGCUAGUUGGUGAGGUAAUGGCUCACCAAGGCGACGACGGGUAGCCGGCCUGAGAGGGUGACCGGCCACACUGGGACUGAGACACGGCCCAGACUCCUACGGGAGGCAGCAGUGGGGAAUAUUGCACAAUGGGCGAAAGCCUGAUGCAGCAACGCCGCGUGAGGGACGACGGCCUUCGGGUUGUAAACCUCUUUUAGUAGGGAAGAAGCGAAAGUGACGGUACCUGCAGAAAAAGCACCGGCUAACUACGUGCCAGCAGCCGCGGUAAUACGUAGGGUGCAAGCGUUGUCCGGAAUUAUUGGGCGUAAAGAGCUCGUAGGCGGUUUGUCGCGUCUGCUGUGAAAACCCGAGGCUCAACCUCGGGCCUGCAGUGGGUACGGGCAGACUAGAGUGCGGUAGGGGAGAUUGGAAUUCCUGGUGUAGCGGUGGAAUGCGCAGAUAUCAGGAGGAACACCAAUGGCGAAGGCAGAUCUCUGGGCCGUAACUGACGCUGAGGAGCGAAAGCAUGGGGAGCGAACAGGAUUAGAUACCCUGGUAGUCCAUGCCGUAAACGUUGGGAACUAGAUGUGGGGACCAUUCCACGGU